rnacentral:rRNA from 1 species
GACGAACGCUGGCGGCGUGCUUAACACAUGCAAGUCGAACGGUAAGGCCCUUCGGGGUACACGAGUGGCGAACGGGUGAGUAACACGUGGGUGAUCUGCCCUGUACUUCGGGAUAAGCCUGGGAAACUGGGUCUAAUACCGGAUAGGACCACUGCCUGCAUGGGUGGUGGUGGAAAGCUUUUGCGGUGUGGGAUGGGCCCGCGGCCUAUCAGCUUGUUGGUGGGGUGAUGGCCUACCAAGGCGACGACGGGUAGCCGGCCUGAGAGGGUGACCGGCCACACUGGGACUGAGAUACGGCCAAGACUCCUACGGGAGGCAGCAGUGGGGAAUAUUGCACAAUGGGCGCAAGCCUGAUGCAGCGACGCCGCGUGAGGGAUGACGGCCUUCGGGUUGUAAACCUCUUUCAGCACCGACGAAGCGCAAGUGACGGUAGGUGCAGAAGAAGGACCGGCCAACUACGUGCCAGCCGCCGCGGUAAAAC